rnacentral:rRNA from 1 species
AUGAAGCAUCUCCAUUCUGUAUGCUUUCUCUUACUCUCUUACACUUGUCUCCUAUUAUACGUCGCCGCGCCGGCGAGUGCCAACAUCCGGGGUGAAGCUGAAGCACUUGUGAAGUGGAAGGCUAGCUUGGUCGAUGCCGAUGGGUCCCUUAGUACAUGGUCGAUGGCCAACUCCACAAGCCUUUGCAACUGGUGGCACGUCACUUGUGACUUGGCUGGGCACAUCAGGCAGCUCAUGCUUAUCGAGACAAGUCUGAAUGGCACACUUGAUGACUUCGACUUCCCCGCCUUUCCCCACAUGGAGAAACUCAUCCUGUACGACGUUGGUCUAUAUGGCACAAUUCCAGCGGGGAUUGGCAACCUCACGAGUUUGGUUGUGUUGGACCUCAGCAGAAACCCAUAUUUGAGAGGCGCCAUUCCUCGCAGCAUUGGCCAGCUGAUGCACCUUGGUUUACUGCGAUUGAGAUAUUUGAAGCUUGAUAGCACGCUACCUGAAGAGAUUGGUAACCUGACGAGCUUGGACGAGCUCGAUCUGUACUCAGUUACUUUGACAGGGUCAAUCCCACCAACAAUUGGGUUGCUCGUGAAGCUCCGGAAGCUUAUCCUGCGAAACAAUAAGCUGACAGGGAGAAUCCCGCUGGAGAUUGGAAACAUGACAGAACUGCAGUCCAUAGAGCUGGAUGAUAACCAUUUGGAAGGGCAGCUGCCAGGUACCAUCAUUCAUCUGAGAAAACUCAGGUAUUUGUAUCUGUCAGAAAACCAACUUGGAGGCCACAUCUUCCCGGAGCUUGGGAAUAGCAGUCUCCUGGAUGAGGUCGAGAUUGCAAAUAAUAACUUCUUUGGGGUGUUCCCGUCAUCCAUUUGCGCAGGAGGUGCACUGAAAUUUCUCAUUGCUGGAUAUAAUGGAUUUACCGGCAUUCACCGUCAGACCUUUAAAAACUGCACAUCCUUGCACAGUGUUGACUUCACGGCAAACAACAUUGUUGCAGAGUUAAGGGACUGUUUUCAUGAGCAUCUUGGACAGCUUCAGGCAAUGGAUUUCAGUGAAAACCAGUUCUAUGGCACGGUUCUGACAGAUUGGGGCGAGGUAUUCCUUUGUAAUUAUACCCUUUUAGACUUCCUAGACCUAUCAAAUAAUUCCUUGCAUGGAGGUCUCUCCCAGUGUUUCUGGGACAUGGCAAGCUUGAUGUUCAUGGAUCUAUCGAGCAACUCCUUCAGUGGCGUGGUUCCAUUCUCGAGGACAUGUAGUGUUGAUCUGAACUAUCUACACCUAGCCAAUAACCAUUUCAUAGGAGCCUUCCCGUUUGGUCUUAAGAAAUGUAAAAACCUGAUCACUCUAGAUCUUGGAGGCAAUAAUUUCUCAGGUACGAUACCAUCUUGGAUAAGCAAGAACUUACCUGGACUCAAGUUUCUUCGUCUGUCAUCCAACACAUUCGAAGGUGUCAUACCUCUUCAGGUAUUACACUUUCACAAACUCCAAUUGUUGGACUUGUCAAAAAACAAGCUCACAGGACCCGUUCCAGAUGAUUUUUCAAAUUUUACUGGCAUGGCACAUGAACAGGAACAAAUUGACUAUGUAUAUACUGGCUACGGCGUGCAUGCACAGCAAAUCCAAAUAGUUUGGAAGAAUGUAGAUCAUGUUUACGUUAUGGUGAUAGCAGGCAUGGCCGGUAUCGACUUAUCUGGGAACUUUCUUUCACAAGAGAUCCCACAUGGGCUCACAACGCUUCUUGGAAUCAGGUACCUGAACUUAUCAGGAAAUCAUUUGUCAGGUCGUAUUCCCAAAGACAUUGGCAAUCUGGUACUGCUGGAAUCCUUGGACCUUUCUCGGAACCAACUAUCAGGGGAAAUUCCUCCAAGCUUUGCAGAUUUGAAGACCAUAAGCGUCCUGAACCUCUCGAGCAACAGUUUAUCAGGGAGGAUACCUACGGGCAAUCAGUUGCAGACACUCGUAGAUCCUUCAAUAUACAGCAAUAAUCCUGGGCUGUGCGGGUUUCCGUUGGAAGACUGUGUAAACUCGUCGACACCUACGCAAACCGAAGAGAGUCAGGCUGAAGAUAGAGAGGCAUUGUGGUUGUAUUGCUUCGUGGCUGCUGGGUUCAUCUUUGGGUUCUGGCUGUACUGGGGCAUGUUCAUGUUCCGCAGCGAGACAUGGAGAUUUUCGUUCUAUCAAUAUGUGGACAACAUGCAAGCCAUGGUAACCAAGAAGAUAUAUAGCUGCAUGUCGCACUUUCGGGUCAAUGGCGCUGAAUGA